UGAUCCUGGCUCAGAACGUACGCUGGCGGCACGCCUAACACAUGCAAGUCGAACGAAGUAGCAAUACUUAGUGGCAGACGGGUGAGUAACAUGUAGGUAUCUGCCCUUUGGCCUGGAAUAACACGAGGAAACUUGUGCCAAUACCGGAUAAGUCUUUACGGAGAAAGCUUUAUGCACCAUUGGAUGAGCCUGCACUUGAUUAGUUUGUUGGUGGGGUAAUGGCCUACCAAGACUGUGAUCAAUAGCUGAUUUGAGAGGAUGAUCAGCCACAUUGGGACUGAGACACGGCCCAAACUCCUACGGGAGGCAGCAGUGGGGAAUCUUGCACAAUGGAGGAAACUCUGAUGCAGCGAUGCCGCGUGAGUGAAGAAGGCCUUUGGGUUGUAAAGCUCUUUCGUCGGGGAAGAAAAUGACUGUACCCGAAUAAGAAGGUCCGGCUAACUUCGUGCCAGCAGCCGCGGUAAUACGAAGGGACCUAGCGUAGUUCGGAAUUACUGGGCUUAAAGAGUUCGUAGGUGGUUGAAAAAGUUAGUGGUGAAAUCCCAGAGCUUAACUCUGGAACUGCCAUUAAAACUUUUCAGCUAGAGUAUGAUAGAGGAAAGCAGAAUUUCUAGUGUAGAGGUGAAAUUCGUAGAUAUUAGAAAGAAUACCAAUUGCGAAGGCAGCUUUCUGGAUCAUUACUGACACUGAGGAACGAAAGCAUGGGUAGCGAAGAGGAUUAGAUACCCUCGUAGUCCAUGCCGUAAACGAUGUGUGUUAGACGUUGGAAAUUUAUUUUCAGUGUCGCAGGGAAACCGAUAAACACACCGCCUGGGGAGUACGACCGCAAGGUUAAAACUCAAAUGAAUUGACGGGGACCCGCACAAGUAGUGGAGCAUGUGGUUUAAUUCGAAGAUACGCGCAGAACCUUACCAACACUUGACAUGUUCGUCGCGACUCUAAGAGAUUAGAGUUUUCGGUUCGGCCGGACGAAACACAGGUGCUGCAUGGCUGUCGUCAGCUCGUGUCGUGAGAUGUUGGGUUAAGUCCCGCAACGAGCGCAACCCUCACUUUUAGUUGCCAUCAUUAAGUUGGGCACUCUGAAAGAACUGCCAGUGAUAAGCUGGAGGAAGGUGGGGAUGACGUCAAGUCCUCAUGGCCCUUACGUGUUGGGCUACACACGUGCUACAAUGGUAUCUACAACAGGAAGCAAGACUGCGAAGUUAAGCAAAUCCCUAAAAGAUACCUCAGUUCGGAUUGCACUCUGCAACUCGAGUGCAUGAAGCUGGAAUUACUAGUAAUCGUGGAUCAGCGUGCCACGGUGAAUGCGUUCCCGGGUCUUGUACACACCGCCCGUCACACCAUGGGAGUUGGUUCUACCUUAAGGCAAGGUUUCAAACCCUUGACCACGGUAUAGUCAGCGACUGGGGUGAAGUCGUAACAAGGUAACC
rnacentral:rRNA from 1 species